rnacentral:rRNA from 1 species
UACGAAGGGGGCUAGCGUUGUUCGGAAUUACUGGGCGUAAAGCGUAUGCAGGCGGAUCGUUAAGUCGGGGGUGAAAUCCCGAGGCUCAACCUCGGAACUGCCUUCGAUACUGGCGACCUUCGAGUCCGGGAGAGGUGAGUGGAACUCCGAGUGUAGAGGUGAAAUUCGUAGAUAUUAGGAAGAACACCAGUGGCGAAGGCGGCUCACUGGCCCGGUACUGACGCUGAGGCGCGAAAGCGUGGGGAGCAAACAGG